UGGGGAAUUUGGACAAUGGGCGAAAGCCUGAUCCAGCAAUGCCGCGUGUGUGAAGAAGACCUUCGGGUUGUAAAGCACUUUUGUCCGGAAAGAAAUCCUUGGCUCUAAUACAGUCGGGGGAUGACGGUACCGGAAGAAUAAGCACCGGCUAACUACGUGCCAGCAGCCGCGGUAAUACGUAAGGUGCAAGCGUUAAUCGGAAUUACUGGGCGUAAAGCGUGCGCAGGCGGUUUGCUAAGACCGAUGUGAAAUCCCCGGGCUCAACCUGGGAACUGCAUUGGUGACUGGCAGGCUAGAGUAUGGCAGAGGGGGGUAGAAUUCCACGUGUAGCAGUGAAAUGCGUAGAGAUGUGGAGGAAUACCGAUGGCGAAGGCAGCCCCCUGGGCCAAUACUGACGCUCAUGCACGAAAGCGUGGGGAGCAAACAGGAUUAGAUACCCUGGUAGUCCACGCCCUAAACGAUGUCAACUAGUUGUUGGGGAUUCAUUUCCUUAGUAACGUAGCUAACGCGUGAAGUUGACCGCCUGGGGAGUACGGUCGCAAGAUUAAAACUUAAAUGAAUUGACGGGGUCAUAGCUGUUUCCU
rnacentral:rRNA from 1 species